UCUCCGUAGGUGAACCUGCGGAGGGAUCAUUACAGAGUUCAUGCCCUACCGGGUAGAUCUCCCACCCUAUGUUAUUAUUACUUUGUUGCUUUGGCGGGCCGUUAGGCUCCGGCCCGACUACCGGCCCCGGCUGGUAAGCGCCCGCCAGAGGACCCAAAACCCUGAAUAUUAGUGUCGUCUGAGUACUAUAUAAUAGUUAAAACUUUCAACAACAGAUCUCUUGGUUCUG
rnacentral:misc_RNA from 1 species